CCUUCACCAGGAUAAACAGCUGAGGAAGUCCUGCGGCUCACUCGAGCUCAGUGCCAUUGGUGCCUCUUCCAGAGGGCUCAGUCCUCAGGAGGACCGGUUUUGAUGACCUAGUCUGAUUACAGCAUCUUUGACAGCUUUAAAGGAAUUUGCUCGGGGGAAGACGACAGCUGCUGCUCUGAUGAAGGAUUUUUCUGAGCAGGCCUUCCAAGCAAGACAUGUCAGCAUGAGAUGCUGCCUACACUUUUCAUCGUGACCAACAGGUGGUUAAACUGCAAUCAAAAGCACUUAGCAAGAAUGGAUCUGUCCCUGUUAUGAGAUUUGAACUCCUGACAUCUUUAUCCACUGGAACUUGAGUGCCCAGGACACACCAGAGAGGGGAUUUUGAGAACAUUUUACAAGCCUUGC
rnacentral:lncRNA from 1 species